GGAUCAAGCGAAUAAGUGCAUAUGAUGGAUGCCUUGGCGAUCACAGGCGAUGAAGGACGCGGUAGCCUGCGAAAAGCUACGGGGAGCUGGCAAACAAGCUUUGAUCCGUAGAUGUCCGAAUGGGGAAACCCACCGUAGUAAUACGGUAUCCCAUGCUCAAUACAUAGGCAUGUGGAGGCGAACCGAGUGAACUGAACCAUCUCAGUAACUCGAGGAAAAGAAAUCAACCGAGAUUCCGGAAGUAGUGGCGAGCGAAACCGGACCAGC
rnacentral:rRNA from 1 species